rnacentral:lncRNA from 1 species
UUUCAACCACACAUCUUUAGUUUAAAAUUAGACUACAAUAAUUGUUGGACAAUGCAAAAUAAAACUAACAUGACAUGGUUACCUCAAAUAGGAAACAAAUUUAUUUGCUCCUUUGUACUUGCACCAUCUGCAUUGACCUUAACAUCUGAAUUUUCAUGCUCUGGAUUAGUUCUUUGCCUAUGUUUUUCACUCACAUCAGCAAUACUUGAAGAUGUAAAAUACUUUGUCAAAGAACCCUUCAGUGGUUGAAUUUUUAGAUCUAUAAAUUUCUUUCUUUUCCUUUUUUUAGCACCCAACAAAUGCUUCCUAGGCAACAUGGCAUGCUAAUGUCCUAAUAUUACGAAGCAAAGAGUAGAUAACAAAUUAGAAAUUUAUAGAUCAGACGACCAGAACCCUAGACAUGUACACAGAAUGAUAGAAAAUUAGUAUGGUUGGAUACGUACUAUGAAAGAUUGAAUUAAAAAAAUUAUACAUAAAAAAAUUUGAUACUUCAUGGGAUGAAUGGAUCAGGAACAUCCGAACAUGGAUAUUGGAUAUGUACCUGCGUUCGCAUACAUACGUAUUGCCGUACUGUUGGAAGGCCGAGUUGCCGGACUGCUGCGUGCCGCGGCGGCCACGAGCGGCUGAGGCACCGAGCAAGGAACGACGGAGCGACGGGCUGAUCAGACGACGAAGACGAAGAGACGAGCGAUGAAUAGGGAA